rnacentral:rRNA from 1 species
AUGCCCCCCGCCAUGGAGAAGUACGGCGGGGACUGGGACGGCUCCAACGUCCACGAGGAUCACGUCGAAUUCCUUCGCAAGACGCGGCGGCUGCCCGGCGCGGGCAAGGUGGAGGUCCGUCUCGCGCCGGCGAAGGAGAUUACGCCGGCGCCGCGGGAAGGCGAGCGGGUAGUUUUCCGCUCGCAUUUCUUGCGCGGCAUUGGCCUGCCCGUGAGCGCUUUCUUCCGCUUUUGGCUCGAGUUCUACCAACUCCAGCCGCACCACCUCACCCCGAACGCGGUGGUGCUGCUGUCUGCCUUCGUCACCUUGUGCGAAGGCUACCUCGGCGUCCACCCUACCCUCGAGCUCUGGGGGGAGUUCUUCCAGUCCAAGAUGAGCACGCGCACGCAAGGCGUGCCGGCUCAGAGUGGCGCCUUCAUCGCGAUGCGGAGGGUGGCUGCCGACAACCCCUUCCCCAUCAUCACGCUGAUCCAGUCGGUGAAGCUAUGGCAAAAGUCAUACUUCUACGUGAAGAACGUCGCCCCGCAGGGCGACUACGUCAAUCUGCCGGCUUACGUAGCCGGCCCACCGGCGGGCAGGCGGCCCCAGUGGUCCUACCGGGCUGUGACGCUGACGCCGGCUGGAACCGCAGCCGUCGCCCGAGUGCGAGCGAUGACCCAGUCGGAGGGUUUGUCGGGGUCCGACCUGCUGGCCCCCUUCGUCACGCGCCGGGUACUCCCGCUCCAGAGCCGCCCUCAUCUGAUCUGUCAGAUGAGCGGCCAGCUCGAUCCAAGCCGGAUGUGUACCAAGGACAUGCCGCACGACGAGGUGGCCUUUAUGGUGAACUACCUCGCGAACUGCAAACUCUCCGCAGAGUGGCAGUUCGGCAAGGAGCCAUAUAGCCGAGCCAAUCCGCCGCCCACGGUAUGUUCUCCUUGUCUCUUCUUCUUCUCUCAGUUUUGUCACCGAGUUCCUUUGGCCGACUCUGACUAG